AUCUCGAACUAGUAAAUGUUCUUGGUUUCUCCUUCAAUGAUAGAGUUGGAGAUUCAUGGACCUCUGUGAUCUUGAACAGUCAAGUCCAAACUAGGAUUCCUUUUCUUUCUUAAUCUUUUGUCUUUGAUUCUAGUUGUGGAAGGGAACACGUUGAUUCUGAAGUACAAGUCUUUUGAGGUUGGCUUUUAGGGAAAGAAAGCUUUGUGGGUCUCGAGGUUUAUUGGGAUUGAAGUCCAGUUUGGUUGGUGUUCUGGUUUUGAAGGUGCUUAGUUUAAUGGCUGAAGGGGAUUGAAGACUGGAGCUCCCUGACUCUUUUGUUUAUCUGAGGGUGUAUGAUAAGUUCAAGGUCCUAAGUUGGGGAUUCUGGGAGUUGCAAUAUUGUUUAGUGGUACAGCAAAGAAGAGUGCUUUAGGAAAUUGGGUGGUAGUUUUAGAUUCUGGUUUGUGAUUGAAAAGAAAGUGAUGGACUUGAGGCGAGGUAGAGGAAAAGAGAGGGUCCUUGGAGAAAGAAAGGUUGAUUCGAGUAGUGGUAGUAGUACAAGUUCAUUAAGAAGAGAGACUAAAGAGGUUUCGAAUGAUAAUCAUGUUAAUGUUAGGGAAGGGGUUUGGGGUUUAAGGCUUGAGGAAAGUGGUGCAGC